GUUUGAAGAUAAUGUUUGUAUGAUUGUUUCCAACAAAUCUGUCAGAACUCAUCCACCCAAAUGUGUGCCCUUCGACACAUCCACCUUAGCUUUAUAAAAAGCUAGACGUCUCUUAAAGUCAAACCUGGUGACUAAACAGGCCCAGCUACAUAUGGAUACACAACAUGAUCACUUACCCAGUAGGCACCGUUCAAUAUGGUUAGACAACAUGAUCACUACACAGCAGGACCUUUUCAAUAUGGAUUCCUAACAUGGCCAUGACUGAUACGCCAAGCCAAUUUGCAUGUAUCCGAACUGCAUCCACUAUCCCUGAAGAAACACUCUGAUGGAGGUGUGGACAGGGUUGGAGAGAACAAAGAUCAUGGCCACCUACUUUUCUACAGUCAUGCUUAAUAGAGGGAGGUCACCAGGAGCCAGGAGAAGAUAGGCAGAGAUCUUGGACUGAGCCUGCGAUUGCCCGUAU
rnacentral:lncRNA from 1 species